rnacentral:rRNA from 1 species
GAUGAACGCUAGCUACAGGCUUAACACAUGCAAGUCGAGGGGAAACGAUAUUGGAAGCUUGCUUCCGAUAGGCGUCGACCGGCGCACGGGUGAGUAACGCGUAUCCAACCUGCACACCACUUGGGGAUGACCUUGCGAAAGUAAGACUAAUACACAAUGACGUCCAUAGAAGACAUCUGAAAUGGAUUAAAGAUUUAUCGGUGAUGGAUGGGGAUGCGUCUGAUUAGCUUGUUGGCGGGGUAACGGCCCACCAAGGCGACGAUCAGUAGGGGUUCUGAGAGGAAGGGCCCCCACAUUGGAACUGAGACACGGUCCAAACUCCUACGGGAGGCAGCAGUGAGGAAUAUUGGUCAAUGGGCGAGAGCCAGAACCAGCCAAGUAGCGUGCAGGAUGACGGCCCUAUGGGUUGUAAACUGCUUUUAUAAGGGAUAAAGUGAGCCCCGUGAGGCUUUUUGCAUGUACCUUAUGAAUAAGGACCGGCUAAUUCCGUGCCAGCCGCCGCAGUAA